GCAGAGACCAGGAGGACGGCCAGUGGGAUUGUCUACACCAGCAGGAUCCAGCAGGAGGCGCUGCAGGACUCAGACUGUGAGGCUCCUGCAGCAAAGAAGACCAGACCUGAUGACUGACAGCUGAUGUUCCUUCUCCUGGAACGGUUCUGAUGUUCUGUGAGGUUCUUUAGUUUAAUAAAGUUCUGAUGAUUCAACAUCA